ACAUACGGCCAUACCUGCGGUAAUCUACUCGAACCCGUCCGAUUUCGAACGUCAAGACCGCAAGGGGCAGAUUAGUAGUUGGGUCGGUGACGACCAACGAACUCCGGCUGCUGUAUGUG
rnacentral:rRNA from 1 species